GUUUUAAUAGUUUAAACAAAACUUUGGUCUUGUAAACCAACAAUGAAAUUUUUCUUAAAACU
rnacentral:tRNA from 1 species